rnacentral:rRNA from 1 species
AUUGAACGCUGGCGGCAGGCCUAACACAUGCAAGUCGAACGAGUGGCGGACGGGUGAGUAAUGUCUGAGAAACUGCCUGAUGGAGGGGGAUAAGUACUGGAAACGGUAGCUAAUACCGCAUACCAUCAGAUGUGCCCAGAUGGGAUUAGCUAGUUGGUGGGGUAACGGGUCACAAAGGCGACGAUACCUAGCUGGUAUGAGAGGAUGACCAGCCACACAGGAACUGAGACACGGUCCAGACGCCGACGGGAGGCAGCAGUGGGGAAUAGUGCACAAGGGGCGCAAGCCUGAUGCAGCCAAGCCGCGUGUAUGAAGAAGGCCUUCGGGUUGUAAAGUACUUUCAGCGGGGAGGCGGUACCCGCAGAAGAAGCACCGGAUAACUCAGUGCCAGCAGCCGCGGUAAUUC